GUCUCUCAGAGGACAUCCGAAAAAAUUGGAACGAUACAUAGAAGAUUUGUGUGGCCCUUGUACAAGGAUGGUGCAGAAAUCGAGUAUUGAUCCAGAAAAAG